AAAUAAUAAAAGUUAUUUAGUAUUUUUCAUCACAAGAAUAUAUUUUCUAACGAGCUCCUAUGUUGCGAUGAAGUCUUUAGGACUACUUUGAUCGAUAAAGGAGGAUUUAUCGUAUAGUCCUUAAAUUGGUUUGCAACCAAACGAUAUGCUAUUACUAGGAUGAUAGCGAUAUCAAGUGUAGAUUGUUGUGUGCCAUAUGCAUUGGUCGUCCCCUCAUAAUCAAAUAGUAUGGAGAUACUGGUAUAGUAUGUAGGUGAGAUGUAGAAGUACAUCAUCACUAAACGUGACCAACUGCGGAGCACUCGGCUGUCAAGGGU
rnacentral:lncRNA from 1 species